rnacentral:rRNA from 1 species
UACGUAGGGUGCGAGCGUUGUCCGGAAUUAUUGGGCGUAAAGAGCUCGUAGGCGGUCUGUCGCGUCUGCUGUGAAAUCCCGAGGCUCAACCUCGGGCUUGCAGUGGGUACGGGCAGGCUAGAGUGCGGUAGGGGAGAAUGGAACUCCUGGUGUAGCGGUGGAAUGCGCAGAUAUCAGGAAGAACACCGAUGGCGAAGGCAGUUCUCUGGGCCGUAACUGACGCUGAGGAGCGAAAGCGUGGGGAGCGAAUAGG